rnacentral:rRNA from 1 species
CACUCCUGCGGGAGGCAGCAGUGGGGAAUAUUGCACAAUGGGCGCAAGCCUGAUGCAGCGACGCCGCGUGGGGGAUGAAGGCCUUCGGGUUGUAAACUCCUUUCGCUAGGGACGAAGCUUUUUUGUGACGGUACCUAGAUAAGAAGCACCGGCUAACUACGUGCCAGCAGCCGCGGUAAUACGUAGGGUGCGAGCGUUGUCCGGAAUUACUGGGCGUAAAGGGCUCGUAGGUGGUUUGUCGCGUCGUCUGUGAAAUUCUGGGGCUUAACUCCGGGCGUGCAGGCGAUACGGGCAUAACUUGAGUGCUGUAGGGGUAACUGGAAUUCCUGGUGUAGCGGUGAAAUGCGCAGAUAUCAGGAGGAACACCGAUGGCGAAGGCAGGUUACUGGGCAGUUACUGACGCUGAGGAGCGAAAGCAUGGGUAGCGAACAGGAUUAGAAACCCGAGUAGUCCCAUGA